rnacentral:lncRNA from 1 species
GUAAAAUUUGUGCAAUUAGUCCUAGGUUAUGAGAAGAAAGUGCAAAAAGAAACCUCUGGGCAACUUGCCGCUAGCCUGCCAGACUCAUCAGCAGUGGCGUGAAUUCAUGAAUGCCAGAAGAAGCAUCCAUGAUCCAACCAUAAAUUCAUAGAUUAUGCCCCUGGAAUAAGAGGAUGUAAGUUCAAUGUGUAGCUAGAUGUAAAAGGCUAAUGUUAACGUUGCCCAUGAAAGGAAGUUAGGCUAGCGAGCAAGCAUUUUAGCCAGGUAGCCUGGGACAACAAAUAAAAGCGUGUACUGUAUGACAGAGUCAUAGACCAUUUCGUCAGCAUGAAAGAACAGAGGAUGGCAUUGGCGUUUCUCUACAAGUAGGGCAAUCCAUCGUUUAUAGACCUUUUGGGCAUUAUAACAUUCUUACCAUCUACGGUCAUCAUUUUGAACAACCCAAAGCCAACCAUGUCGACCAAGGAGGAGACACCCGCCGACGGAGACAAACCGCAGACGUCCUCCUGGAAAGAUUCUAUCUACAACCCACGAACAGGAGAGUUUAUUGGCCGAACCGCUAAAAGCUGGG